rnacentral:rRNA from 1 species
CUCCAAUAGCGUAUAUUAAAGUUGUUGCAGUUAAAAAGCUCGUAGUUGAAUUUCGGGAUCAACUAAUUGGUCGUGCCUAUGGUACGUACUGAUUUUAUUGGUUUCUCCCUUCUGAAGAACCAUCAUGUCAUUAAUUUGGUGUGGUGGAGAAUCAGGACUGUUACUUUGAAAAAAUUAGAGUGUUUAAAGCAAGCUAACGCUUGAAUACAUUAGCAUGGAAUAAUGAAAUAGGACGUUUGAUCCUAUUUUGUUGGUUUCUAGGAUCGACGUAAUGAUUAAUAGGGAUAGUUGGGGGCAUUAGUAUUCAAUUGUCAGAGGUGAAAUUCUUGGAUUUAUUGAAGACUAACUUCUGCGAAAGCAUUUGCCAAGGAUGUUUUCAUUAAUCAAGAACGAAAGUUAGGGGAUCGAAGACGACCAGAUACCGUCGUAGUCUUAACCAUAAACUAUGCCGACUAGGGAUCGGAUGAUGUU